UUCCUGGUGGUCCAGUGGUUAAGACUCUGUGCUUCCACUGCAGGGACACAGGUUCGAUUCCUGAUCGAGGAA
rnacentral:tRNA from 1 species